rnacentral:rRNA from 1 species
AGCAGCCGCGGUAAUUCCAGCUCCAAUAGCGUAUAUUAAAGUUGUUGCAGUUAAAAAGCUCGUAGUUGAAUUUCGGGAUCAAUACGUCGGUCGUGCUUCGGUACGUACUGGCGUAAUUGAUUUCUCCCUUCUGACGAACCAUGAUGUCAUUAACUUGGUGUCAUGGGAAAUCAGGACUGUUACUUUGAAAAAAUUAGAGUGUUUAAAGCAGGCUCACGCUUGAAUACAUUAGCAUGGAAUAAUGAAAUAGGACGUUCGAUCCUAUUUUGUUGGUUUUUAGGAUCAACGUAAUGAUUAAUAGGGAUAGUUGGGGGCAUUAGUAUUCAAUUGUCAGAGGUGAAAUUCUUGGAUUUAUUGAAGACUAACUACUGCGAAAGCAUUUGCCAAGGAUGUUUUCAUUAAUCAAGAACGAAAGUUAGGGGAUCGAAGACGAUCAGAUACCGUCGUAGUCUUAACCAUAAACUAUGCCGACUAGGGAUCGGAUGAUGUAAUUUUUACGAC